UGCAGUCGAACGAUGAAGCCCUGCUUGCAGGGUGGAUUAGUGGCGAACGGGUGAGUAACACGUGAGUAACCUGCCCCCGACUCUGGGAUAAGCCCGGGAAACUGGGUCUAAUACCGGAUAUGACUUCCUACUGCAUGGUGGGUUGUUGAAAGAUUUAUCGGUGGGGGAUGGACUCGCGGCCUAUCAGCUUGUUGGUGAGGUAAUGGCUCACCAAGGCGACGACGGGUAGCCGGCCUGAGAGGGUGACCGGCCACACUGGGACUGAGACACGGCCCAGACUCCUACGGGAGGCAGCAGUGGGGAAUAUUGCACAAUGGGCGGAAGCCUGAUGCAGCGACGCCGCGUGAGGGAUGACGGCCUUCGGGUUGUAAACCUCUUUCAGUAGGGAAGAAGCGAAAGUGACGGUACCUGCAGAAGAAGCGCCGGCUAACUACGUGCCAGCAGCCGCGGUAAUACGUAGGGCGCAAGCGUUAUCCGGAUUUAUUGGGCGUAAAGAGCUCGUAGGCGGUUUGUCGCGUCUGCCGUGAAAGUCCGAGGCUCAACCUCGGAUCUGCGGUGGGUACGGGCAGACUAGAGUGAUGUAGGGGAGACUGGAAUUCCUGGUGUAGCGGUGAAAUGCGCAGAUAUCAGGAGGAACACCGAUGGCGAAGGCAGGUCUCUGGGCAUUUACUGACGCUGAGGAGCGAAAGCAUGGGGAGCGAACAGGAUUAGAUACCCUGGUAGUCCAUGCCGUAAACGUUGGGCACUAGGUGUGGGGGACAUUCCACGUUUUCCGCGCCGUAGCUAACGCAUUAAGUG
rnacentral:rRNA from 1 species